GGGCUCCAUGUAAGACGAGCCUUGGCCUCGCUCCCCAACCAUCCUCCUCAAUUCCAGCUCCAACACGCAGCUCCUCCGAGCCGCCGCGCUCGGCCCGGCCCUUCCCGGGCCUGCUUUUUUGCCCUUUUAAGCUGGGUUUUGUUGUUUUAAGCUCGGUUUCAGCAGCCUAACGAGGUGUAGAGGUGUUGUUUUUCCAGGUCUGGCUGGGGUUUUGCCACCGUUCGCUCCGGCGCCGAUUUCCCCGCGAAAUCCAAGGUCGCCUUUUCCGGGAUGCGGAAGAGGAAAACUCUCCUGGCUCCUCAUCCUCCCAAAAUUCCUUCCCCGCCUGGAGGCCAGCCUGGCUUUGGGAGAAGCUCCCAGCACUGAAGUUUUUCCCUGGAUUUUGUGCUGGUCCUGGUAAGAUCCAAAGUAUCCAGGUAGAGCGGGGAGGGGGAAAAAAUGGGAUUUACGGAGUGCGAGAGCGACUCCUUGGAGGGCUUUUCCAUGGAUAUUCCCUCUCCCACUUCACUUUCUCCGGGAUUCCUCCCUCUUUUCUCUUCCUCCUUCUCCCCCCAGGUGGAUCCGAGAGGGUUUUGUUGGACAGAUCAGGUUUUGUGUGCGCUGGGGGAGGGGAGGGCAGCGCAUGAAUCCAAACGUUCAUUUUACAACCAGUCCAACCAGUCAGGGCAGCUCCGAGCAGAUCCAGGGCUGGAGGAGGAGGAGGGAGACGAGGGGGGAAGGCUGCUCGCAGCCAGGUGUCAGGGAAAGGUGGGCAGGAAAGGCAACUUUUGGGAAAUCCCGUUGAAACCCCCCAAAAUCCCAAUCAAAUCCAUAGGAACCAGCAUGGAACUGAAGGGGGCUCUUCCAAUAUUCCUGGAUUUCGGAAUAUUUGGAUUUUAGGGAGGAUCUCCCAGUCUUGAGAGUAAAGUCAUGAUUUGAGUUACUGCUGGAUUUGAAAAGAAAGAAUAUUGGGAAAAUCUGAUCAAAUUCAAUUAAAAUCCCAAUAAAAUUGGUAUAAAAUGAGCAUGGAAGUGAAGGGGGCUCUUCCAAUAUUCCUGGAUUUCGGAAUAUUUGGAUUUUAGGGAGGAUCUCCCAGUUUUCAACUAAAAGUGAGGAUUCGAAACCCAAGUUUAGAGCUGGGUCUGGGAAAAAAGGAAUAUUUGGAAAAUCUGAUUAAAAUCCCAAUAAUAUCUCUAUUAAAUGAGCUUAAAUUGAAGGGGGGGGUCUUCCAAUAUUCCUGGAUUUUGGAAUAUUUGGAUUUAAGGGACGAUCUCCCCGUUUUUAACUAAGAGUGAGGAUUCCAAAUCCGGGUUUGCUGCUGGCUCUGGAAAGAAAAAAGGAAUAUUGGGAAAAUCUGAUUAAAAUCCCAAUAAUAUCUCUAUUAAAUGAGCUUAAAUUGAAGGGGGGUCUUCCAGUAUUUUUGGAUUUUGGAAUAUUUGGAUUUAAGGGACGAUCUCCCCGUUUUCAACUAAGAGUGAGGAUUCCAAAUCCGGGUUUGCUGCUGGCUCUGGAAAGAAAAAAGGAAUAUUGGGAAAAUCUGAUUAAAAUCCCAAUAAUUUCUCUAUUAAAUGAGCUUAAAUUGAAGGGGGGUCUUCCAGUAUUCCUGGAUUUCGGAAUAUUUGGAUUUUAGGGAGGAUCUCCCAAUUUUGGGAGUAAAAGUCACGAUUCGAGUUUCCUGCUGGCUUUGAAAAGAAAGAAUAUUGGGAAAAUCUGAUGAAAUUCCAUCAAAAUCCCAAUAAAAUCCAUAGGAACCAGCCUGGAAUUGAAGGGGGUUCUUCCAAUAUUUUUGGAUUUCGGAAUAUUUGGAUUUAAGGGAGGAUUUCCCAGUUUUGGAUUAAAAGUGAGGAUCCGAAAUUCAACCUUAGUGCUGGGUCUGGGAAAAAAAAAAAAGGAAUAUUUGGAAAAUCUGAUUAAAAUCCCAAGAAAAUCGAUAGGAAACCAGCAUGGAAUUGAAGGGGGUUCUUCCAAUAUUUUUGGAUUUUGGAAUAUUUGGAUUUAAGGGAGGAUUUCCCAGUUUUGGGAGUAAAAGUCAGGAUUUGAAAUCAGAGUUUGCUGCUGCCUCUGGGAAAAAAAAAGGAAUAUUGGGCAAAUUGGAUUAAAACUCAAUUAAAAUCCCAAUAAAAUCGAUAUAAAAUCAGCAUGGAAUUGAAGGGGGGUCCUUCCAACCUUUGGAAUAUUUUGGAAUAUUUGGAUUUAAGGGAGGAUUGCCCAGGUUUUGAUGAAGGUGAGGAUUCCAAGCCGAGUCUGCUGCUGCCUCUGAGUAAUCAUUGCCACGUCUUAAUGACUCCUUUAAUUACGCAGGUUCUAACGAGCUCCCCUCCCCCUCCCCAACUCCCCAUCCCCAAAUGUUCCUUUCCCCCUCCCCCCACCCCAAUUCCUCGGAUCAGAACAAGGAGGGGAUGCACUGGGAGAAGAAAAUUUGGGAAUUUUGCUUGGAUCGAGCGGAGGCGGCGGAAAAUCCCGGCCGGAGCCAUUUUGGGUGGGUUUGGUGAUUCUCCCUCUCCUCGGGAUUUUUUGGGCUCUUUUUGGUGCCUGGAAAAAACCCAAAUUUUCCAAUUUUGGCUUUGCUGCGGUGCCGGAUCCAAGCGGGAUCGGCUUUUCCUGCUCGCUCCGGGAUUUGGGAGAGUUGGGCUCCCAAGGGAGAAAGGAGGAGUUAAAGAAAGUGAUUUUAUUUCAUUUGGGGGGGUGAGGUCAGGCCCGGGGUUCUUCCUCUAAAUCCCAUUUUUUGGGGGAGAAUUCCAUUUCAAAAUCCCAAUUUUUGAGUUACAAUUCCAUUUCAAAGUUCCAUUUUUUGGGGUAAAAUUCAAUUUCGAAAUCCCAUUUUUUGGAUUUCAAAAUCCCAUUUAUUCGAGUUACAAUUCCAUUUCCAAAUCACAUUUAUUUGAGCUAGAAUUCCAUUUCAAAAUCCCAUUUUUUGGAUUUCAAAAUCCCUUUUUUGGGGGGGUUACAAUUCCAUUUCAAAAUCCCAAUUUUUGAGUUACAAUUCCAUUUCAAAGUUCCUUUUUUUGGGGUAAAAUUCAAUUUCCAAAUCCCAUUUUUUGGAUUUCAAAAUCCCAUUUAUUCGAGUUACAAUUCCAUUUCCAAAUCCCAUUUAUUUGAGCUACAAUUCCAUUUCAAAAUUCCAAUUUUUUGGAUUUCAAAAUCCCUUUUUUUGGGGGGGUUACAAUUCCAUUUCAAAAUCCCGAUUUUUGGAUUUCAAAAUCCCAAUUUUUGAGUUACAAUUCCAUUUCCAAGUCCCAUUUUUUGGGGUAAAAUUCCAUUUCCAAAUCCCAUUUAUUUGAGCUACAAUUCCAUUUCAAAAUCCCAAUUUUUGGAUUUCAAAAUCCCAAUUUUAGGGCUAGAAUUCCAUUUCCAAAUCCCAUUUUUUGGAUUUCAAAAUCCCAAUUUUUGAGUUACAAUUCCAUUUCAAAAUCCCAUUUUUUGGGGUAAAAUUCAAUUUCCAAAUCCCAGUUUUGGAUUUCAAAAUUCUCUUUUUUUUGGGGGGGGGUUACAAUUCCAUUUCCAAAUCCCAUUUUUUGGAUUUCAAAAUCCCAUUUAUUUGAGUUACAAUUCCAUUUCAAAA